UUCUCCACUUUUUGUAAACAGAGUAAGUAACUGCUCUACAGAAGGACUUCAUAAGAGAAUAUCUGGUUGAAAUCCUAACUUCAGUUCCUCAUUUUUUGCUUUGGAUAUCAUAAAUGAUGGGAAAAGGAGGAUUCUGGCAGAAGAAAGACAGAAGCGCUGUGACAACUUGAAGUGUUUUUGUGACAGAUCCAAAAAUAGUAAGCCUUUCUCUGCACAAAGCACUGCUAAACUGACAGCUUGCAAUCAGUCAAUGGAAGCUGUGUAACUGAUGGACAUCUGCAUUUGCACCAUUAAGUCUGCUGCCAUGAAGCUGCCACCUUUCAGGUUCUACUGAUGGAACAGCAAGACAGGUGAACUGACACCCCUGCAGCACCCAUCCCCAUCCAGCUGAGCAAGGCACUGCCUGGUAUUCCCAGAUCAAACAAAAGAAGAAAAACUGCUUACCUUUGAAGGCUACAGGCCUCAACUCCACCUUGAGUGUGAGCAUCCUGACAUGAUAUUCGUGGCUGAUUCUGGACCCAUGCUCUCUACAAGGAAGCAACCAUCCCAGAUGUUACAGGAGGAGCCUGGGCUUGCAGACAGGACAAACAGUGCAGGAGCCUGGUGAUGCACAACUUUUGGUUCUUCAUCACUCCAGAUUCAUGCUGAAGAAAACUGUUGAGGUCUAUGAGCCAACUCAGUGCCAUGAUCUCUCAUCCCAAGGGAGGUUACAGCAAAAAGCCAUUGGUGCCUGCAUGGCGCAGAUGUUCUGAGUUUGGUAAUUACUCACCAAGAAGAUUAAAGAUCAGGUGGUCACCUCAGUUGUGUCUACUUUGUCACAGCCCUGAGGGCUGUCCCCAAGUCUCAGGAGCAGAGAAAUGCAGUUGGUAUCCUGCAGUUCCAGAUGACAGUUCCGAGGUUUCAGUAUUGGUGUUCCAAGACAGGGAGACACUACAGGAAUAUUAAUUCUCCAUUAGAGAUGUGAUACUGGGAUGUCUUACCAAGAACCUAAAAAAAUAAUAAAAUCUAGGCAUGAGUGUCCUCUUGCUAAAUCUA